ACGCCCAACACACAAAACAAGCGGUGAAUGCUUUGGGGUGGGGUGACUGCGUACCUUUUGUAUAAUGGGUCAGCGACUUAUAUUCUGUAGCAAGGUUAACCGAAUAGGGGAGCCGGAGGGAAACCGAGUCUUAAUUGGGCGUUAAGUUGCAGGGUAUAGACCCGAAACCCGGUGAUCUAGCCAUGGGCAGGUUGAAGGUUGGGUAACACUAACUGGAGGACCGAACCGACUAAUGUUGAAAAAUUAGCGGAUGACCUGUGGCUGGGGGUGAAAGGCCAAUCAAACCGGGAGAUAGCUGGUUCUCCCCGAAAGCUAUUUAGGUAGCGCCUCGUGAAUUCAUCUCCGGGGGUAGAGCACUGUUUCGGCUAGGGGGCCAUCCCGGCUUACCAACCCGAUGCAAACUGCGAAUACCGGAGAAUGUUAUCACGGGAGACACACGGCGGGUGCUAACGUCCGUCGUGAAGAGGGAAACAACCCAGACCGCCAGCUAAGGUCCCAAAGUCAUGGUUAAGUGGGAAACGAUGUGGGAAGGCCCAGACAGCCAGGAUGUUGGCUUAGAAGCAGCCAUCAUUUAAAGAAAGCGUAAUAGCUCACUGGUCGAGUCGGCCUGCGCGGAAGAUGUAACGGGGCUAAACCAU
rnacentral:rRNA from 2 species